rnacentral:sRNA from 1 species
CGAGUGGCUUCUUUUCAGGGCGCCCUGC